GGAGGUGAGGGCGAGCUGGCUGCAACAUCUGACACCCCACUGAUUGACAGGGUUGAUUUGGCUGAUCUGGCUGACUAGACCCAUGUCACCUUCCUCCUUCAUGGCUCCAUGUGUGUCCCUCCUGAAGCUGAGUGCUCUGAUGAAGAAGACCACAUUCCCCAAUAGAAGAGGACCUUAAUUUGGCCAAGAGUACAUGAGUAAAUGCCCUCCCUGUUAGGACCUCCAAACAAGCUCCCCAAAAGGAUAUAAUCUAAUGCUUUCAAGAAGGUUGAAGCUCAAGAACGCAGAUGGUGCCCGGCUAU
rnacentral:snRNA from 1 species